rnacentral:rRNA from 1 species
UUAAGCGACUAAGCGUACACGGUGGAUGCCCUGGCAGUCAGAGGCGAUGAAGGACGUGCUAAUCUGCGAUAAGCGUCGGUAAGGUGAUAUGAACCGUUAUAACCGGCGAUUUCCGAAUGGGGAAACCCAGUGUGUUUCGACACACUAUCAUUAACUGAAUCCAUAGGUUAAUGAGGCGAACCGGGGGAACUGAAACAUCUAAGUACCCCGAGGAAAAGAAAUCAACCGAGAUUCCCCCAGUAGCGGCGAGCGAACGGGGAGGAGCCCAGAGCCUGAAUCAGUGUGUGUGUUAGUGGAAGCGUCUGGAAAGGCGCGCGAUACAGGGUGACAGCCCCGUACACAAAAAUGCACAUGCUGUGAGCUCGAUGAGUAGGGCGGGACACGUGGUAUCCUGUCUGAAUAUGGGGGGACCAUCCUCCAAGGCUAAAUACUCCUGACUGACCGAUAGUGAACCAGUACCGUGAGGGAAAGGCGAAAAGAACCCCGGCGAGGGGAGUGAAAAAGAACCUGAAACCGUGUACGUACAAGCAGUGGGAGCCUCUUUUAUGGGGUGACUGCGUACCUUUUGUAUAAUGGGUCAGCGACUUAUAUUCUGUAGCAAGGUUAACCGAAUAGGGGAGCCGAAGGGAAACCGAGUCUUAACUGGGCGUUAAGUUGCAGGGUAUAGACCCGAAACCCGGUGAUCUAGCCAUGGGCAGGUUGAAGGUUGGGUAACACUAACUGGAGGACCGAACCGACUAAUGUUGAAAAAUUAGCGGAUGACUUGUGGCUGGGGGUGAAAGGCCAAUCAAACCGGGAGAUAGCUGGUUCUCCCCGAAAGCUAUUUAGGUAGCGCCUCGUGAAUUCAUCUCCGGGGGUAGAGCACUGUUUCGGCAAGGGGGUCAUCCCGACUUACCAACCCGAUGCAAACUGCGAAUACCGGAGAAUGUUAUCACGGGAGACACACGGCGGGUGCUAACGUCCGUCGUGAAGAGGGAAACAACCCAGACCGCCAGCUAAGGUCCCAAAGUCAUGGUUAAGUGGGAAACGAUGUGGGAAGGCCCAGACAGCCAGGAUGUUGGCUUAGAAGCAGCCAUCAUUUAAAGAAAGCGUAAUAGCUCACUGGUCGAGUCGGCCUGCGCGGAAGAUGUAACGGGGCUAAACCAUGCACCGAAGCUGCGGCAGCGACGCUUAUGCGUUGUUGGGUAGGGGAGCGUUCUGUAAGCCUGUGAAGGUGUACUGUGAGGUAUGCUGGAGGUAUCAGAAGUGCGAAUGCUGACAUAAGUAACGAUAAAGCGGGUGAAAAGCCCGCUCGCCGGAAGACCAAGGGUUCCUGUCCAACGUUAAUCGGGGCAGGGUGAGUCGACCCCUAAGGCGAGGCCGAAAGGCGUAGUCGAUGGGAAACAGGUUAAUAUUCCUGUACUUGGUGUUACUGCGAAGGGGGGACGGAGAAGGCUAUGUUGGCCGGGCGACGGUUGUCCCGGUUUAAGCGUGUAGGCUGGUUUUCCAGGCAAAUCCGGAAAAUCAAGGCUGAGGCGUGAUGACGAGGCACUACGGUGCUGAAGCAACAAAUGCCCUGCUUCCAGGAAAAGCCUCUAAGCAUCAGGUAACAUCAAAUCGUACCCCAAACCGACACAGGUGGUCAGGUAGAGAAUACCAAGGCGCUUGAGAGAACUCGGGUGAAGGAACUAGGCAAAAUGGUGCCGUAACUUCGGGAGAAGGCACGCUGAUAUGUAGGUGAAGUGAUUUACUCAUGGAGCUGAAAUCAGUCGAAGAUACCAGCUGGCUGCAACUGUUUAUUAAAAACACAGCACUGUGCAAACACGAAAGUGGACGUAUACGGUGUGACGCCUGCCCGGUGCCGGAAGGUUAAUUGAUGGGGUCAGCGCAAGCGAAGCUCUUGAUCGAAGCCCCGGUAAACGGCGGCCGUAACUAUAACGGUCCUAAGGUAGCGAAAUUCCUUGUCGGGUAAGUUCCGACCUGCACGAAUGGCGUAAUGAUGGCCAGGCUGUCUCCACCCGAGACUCAGUGAAAUUGAACUCGCUGUGAAGAUGCAGUGUACCCGCGGCAAGACGGAAAGACCCCGUGAACCUUUACUAUAGCUUGACACUGAACAUUGAGCCUUGAUGUGUAGGAUAGGUGGGAGGCUUUGAAGUGUGGACGCCAGUCUGCAUGGAGCCGACCUUGAAAUACCACCCUUUAAUGUUUGAUGUUCUAACGUGGACCCGUAAUCCGGGUUGCGGACAGUGUCUGGUGGGUAGUUUGACUGGGGCGGUCUCCUCCUAAAGAGUAACGGAGGAGCACGAAGGUUGGCUAAUCCUGGUCGGACAUCAGGAGGUUAGUGCAAUGGCAUAAGCCAGCUUGACUGCGAGCGUGACGGCGCGAGCAGGUGCGAAAGCAGGUCAUAGUGAUCCGGUGGUUCUGAAUGGAAGGGCCAUCGCUCAACGGAUAAAAGGUACUCCGGGGAUAACAGGCUGAUACCGCCCAAGAGUUCAUAUCGACGGCGGUGUUUGGCACCUCGAUGUCGGCUCAUCACAUCCUGGGGCUGAAGUAGGUCCCAAGGGUAUGGCUGUUCGCCAUUUAAAGUGGUACGCGAGCUGGGUUUAGAACGUCGUGAGACAGUUCGGUCCCUAUCUGCCGUGGGCGCUGGAGAACUGAGGGGGGCUGCUCCUAGUACGAGAGGACCGGAGUGGACGCAUCACUGGUGUUCGGGUUGUCAUGCCAAUGGCACUGCCCGGUAGCUAAAUGCGGAAGAGAUAAGUGCUGAAAGCAUCUAAGCACGAAACUUGCCCCGAGAUGAGUUCUCCCUGACUCCUUGAGAGUCCUGAAGGAACGUUGAAGACGACGACGUUGAUAGGCCGGGUGUGUAAGCGCAGCGAUGCGUUGAGCUAACCGGUACUAAUGAACCGUGAGGCUUAACCUU